GGCGAAAGGGUGAGUAGUACCUUAGGUAACCUGCCCCAAAGACGGGAACAACACCUCUAACGGGGUGCUAAUACCCGAUAUGUCGGUGUGGCCGAGUGGUCGUGCCGGCAAAGGUAGCCUCUAUUUAUAAGCUUCCGCUUUGGGAGGGGCCUCGGGCCUAUCAGCUAGUUGGCGGGGUAAAAGCCCACCAAGGCAGGGACGGGUAGCCGGUCUGAGAGGAUGGUCGGCCACACUGGGACUGAGACACUGCCCAGACUCCUACGGGAGGCUGCAGUCGAGGAUCUUCUGCAAUGGGCGCAAGCCUGACAGAGCGACGCCGCGUGGGGGAGGAAGGCCCUCGGGUUGUAAACCCCUGUUGCCGGUUAAGAAUGUGAGGGUGCCAAUAGCGCCACUCAUUGACAAAGGCCGGUGAGGAAGCCACGGCUAACUACGUGCCAGCAGCCGCGGUAAUACGUAGGUGGCUAGCGUUGUUCGGAAUCACUGGGCAUAAAGCGCGCGUAGGCGGCCAUGUUAGUCGGGUGUGAAAGCCCUCGGCUCAACCGAGGAACUGCGCCCGAUACUGCAUGGCUUGA
rnacentral:rRNA from 1 species